GGGAGGUGAGAGAUAUUUCUUCUUCAUUUUUCCAGCCAAGAGAGUAGGAAAAGUCAAGGAAAGCUGCAGGAAUUUUUUUCCCUUGUCCUACUCCAAUUUCCCAACCGUGAGAGAUAUACUUCUCCAUUGCCUCCAUUUUUAACCAAGUCCAAGUAGCAUGCAAGUUGACUAAGCCAAAUUUACCUCCUCUUGUUUCUUUUCUUCAGCUUAACCACCGAGAGAAAGAAAAACAAUGACAAACAAGACUGGUCACUUGUUUUGUCUCACUUUAGCCGAGAGAGAGUAGAGAGAGUUGAGAGGAAAAAUUUGUGCCAUGCUUCAACCUUCCAGCCGAGAGGAGCUUGAGAGAAGAAUAAAGAAAUUUCUCUUGUUUUGCUUCCACUUCAGCCAAGAGGAACCAGAGAGAGAACACUUAAAGGAAGCUUGUGUCUUACUUCCAUUUCUAGCUUGCUUGAUCGGGUAGAAGGACCAAAACAGGGGAGUUAACUUCUAGCUUGUGUCAAAGGGCAUGACGGUGGUCCGAAACGCUCGUCGGGUGGACAAGUGUGAAAAUUCUCUUUGCUUACUUGGGAACAACUUUUGAAGACUGUGAUAUUUUGAUGUACGAGUUGAGCUAGUUUUAAUACAUAUUCUGUGUAAAGCUCCUCGAUGCUUGGAAACUCUGAAUGUACUUGAAUCCAAAUAUUUUCCUUUUAUUUGUAAAUUACAAACGUAUAUGUAUAAAACUAUUUACCCUGUUCACGUAUCCUAUUUGGUUUGGAAAUGUUUUCCCGAGUUAUAUGGCUA